UUAACGUUUCGGGGCUGUCGGGCUGAUUACUGCGGAAUAACAAUAUUGCGUUUAUAAAAGUUUCUUGCAGCGCCAUCCGGCAGCCUGAGCUGUUCGUCCGCAAACCUCUCACAAACUGUCAACGUCGCCACCAAGCCGAUUGGUGAGCCUUGAACUGCGAUUGGUCAGAAAGAGCAGGUAACAGAUCCUGCCUGGCCUCGACUACGUUACCCGCCUCGUCCUUCUGGAUCCUCGUUCGCCUGUCUCCUGUCCCGGCUUCCCGACCCUGCCUGUCCCUGACUACGUUCCCCGUCUCGUCUUUCUGGAUCCUCGUUCGCCUGUCUCCUGUCCUGGCUUCCCGACCCUGCCUGUCCCCGACUACGUUCCCCGUCUCGUCCCUCUGGAUCCUCGUUCGCCUGUCUUAUGUCCCGGUUUCCCGAUCCUGCCUGUCCCCGACUACGUUCUCCGCCCCGUCCCCGUUGAUUUGCUUGACGAAGUAAAGAUCGGAAUAUCAUAGUA